GAUGAACGCUGGCGGCGUGCCUAAUACAUGCAAGUCGAGCGAACAGACGAGGAGCUUGCUCCUCUGACGUUAGCGGCGGACGGGUGAGUAACACGUGGAUAACCUACCUAUAAGACUGGGAUAACUUCGGGAAACCGGAGCUAAUACCGGAUAAUAUAUUGAACCGCAUGGUUCAAUAGUGAAAGACGGUUUUGCUGUCACUUAUAGAUGGAUCCGCGCCGCAUUAGCUAGUUGGUAAGGUAACGGCUUACCAAGGCAACGAUGCGUAGCCGACCUGAGAGGGCGAUCGGCCACCCUGGAACUGAGACACGGCCCAGACUCCUACGGGAGGCAGCAGUAGGGAAUCUUCCGCAAUGGGCGAAAGCCUGACGGAGCAACGCCGCGUGAGUGAUGAAGGUCUUCGGAUCGUAAAACUCUGUUAUUAGGGAAGAACAAAUGUGUAAGUAACUAUGCACGUCUUGACGGUACCUAAUCAGAAAGCCACGGCUAACUACGUG
rnacentral:rRNA from 1 species